rnacentral:rRNA from 1 species
ACGCGAGACCUUACCAGGUCUUGACAUCCCCUGACAACCCUGGAGACAGGGCGUUCCCCCUUCGGGGGGACAGGGUGACAGGUGGUGCAUGGUUGUCGUCAGCUCGUGUCGUGAGAUGUUGGGUUAAGUCCCGCAACGAGCGCAACCCUCGCCCCUAGUUGCCAGCAUUCAGUUGGGCACUCUAGGGGGACUGCCGGCUAAAAGUCGGAGGAAGGUGGGGAUGACGUCAAAUCAUCAUGCCCCUUAUGACCUGGGCUACACACGUGCUACAAUGGGCGGUACAAAGGGCUGCGAACCCGCGAGGGGGAGCGAAUCCCAAAAAGCCGCUCUCAGUUCGGAUUGCAGGCUGCAACUCGCCUGCAUGAAGCCGGAAUCGCUAGUAAUCGCGGAUCAGCAUGCCGCGGUGAAUACGUUCCCGGGCCUUGUACACACCG